UCAGGAUGAACGCUAGCGACAAGGCCUAACACAUGCAAGUCAGGGGCAGCACAAGGAGCAAUCUGAGGUGGCGACCGGCGCACGGGUGAGUAACACGUAUGCAACCUGCCUGUAAGCGGGGAAUAACCCGUUGAAAGACGGACUAAUACCGCAUAAUACUAAAUUACUGCAUGGUAAUUUAUUUAAACAUUUAUGGCUUACAGAUGGGCAUGCGCAUGAUUAGCUAGUUGGAGAGGUAACGGCUCCCCAAGGCAACGAUCAUUAGGGGUUCUGAGAGGAAGGUCCCCCCACACUGGUACUGAGACACGGACCAGACUCCUACGGGAGGCAGCAGUGAGGAAUAUUGGUCAAUGGACGAGAGUCUGAACCAGCCAAGUCGCGUGCAGGAAGAAUUGUCCUAUGGAUUGUAAACUGCUUUUGCAGGGGAAUAAAGUGCAUCACGUGUGAUGUUUUGUAUGUACUCUGCGAAUAAGGAUCGGCUAACUCCGUGCCAGCCGCGGC
rnacentral:rRNA from 1 species